GAAAGUUGUGAGCUGCUUCUGUGGAGGAUUCUUUCUUUCUCUUCAAAUAUUAAAUAAGUUGUCUGAGCUUGAGUCGUCAAUUCAUUCUGAUAGAAUCAGAUGUCAAGCAUGCCAUCGUUAGCUUGGAGCUGGGCCACCUAAUGUGGUUAGCAGUCUGCCUCUUCCUGAAGUCAGAGCUGAAACGUUUGUGGCAGAAGCUGCAUUUUAGACCUCAGAGUUAUGAGAGAGAUUCUUCUGAAAGUGAAAAUCAAACAAGUGAGCAGCCGUGUUUGCCCAAGGCAGUGUCUCUGAGGGAGUAUGACUUUCCCUGUCCCGUUACUCUUAUUCAGAAGUUAAUCCUCAAAUCGAAUGUGUGAACUGCUCUCUUCUUACACGUGUGUGACACAGCUCACAAGUGAAAAUAGAAGGAGUGCAGAGUAAAGCAACAGCUGUCUUGGAAGAAAGAGGAAAGCCAUGGAAGGAGCUGUAGAAAGGCAAAAGGCAGAUGGGCACCAGCUUCCAGAAGGAGCGCACUGAGGUCUACGUUUCCAUCAGCAUUCGGCUUCUGGAUCUCAAGCAAAUGCUGAAAGCAAAGUUCCUUCUGAUGCUGGGGAUGAGAGCAGAUGGAAGCCAAGCUAUAGUUGAUACAGGACCUAUUCCUCAAUGACUGUUUCACUUGCAAACAAGGAGCCUUAGUGCCACUAAGAUUUGGGUACCAUGAUUCACUGAGGGCUGCCCAGGAUAAGCAGUGUCCAUGUCAUGUUUUCCAGGAUAUUCCUUCCCAGAACCACACGGCUCCUGCUCUGCUGUGCAGAAGUGCACCUCAGUCUCCAUACCUAACAAAUUGAAGGCUCUUCUUGUUUCACAGAGCAUCAGUCGACGUCCUGCCCUCGCUCUCUAAAUUUCACCCAAGCCUUGCAAGCACCAGAAGUACGAGCGCCAGAUCCUCUCAUCUCCUUCCCUCCCUUGACCUCACCUCUGUGUCCCACACCUCUCCAGGCAGCCCAUGCACGCUCCUGAGGAAGAAUGUGGCCAAUAUACUGCCAAGUGCCGCUAAAUGGAAGAAGGCAGAGGAUAACAGAAAAUCAAAAAGACUGGAGGAAGAUUUCUUCCUGAUGCUGUAAUCUCAUGCUGCUGUUUAUCUCCACCUGUGACUUUGCUUAUUCCUUCGUCCCUCUAUAAAUCACUGCAGCUGGUGGUGCAUUCACCCAACCUUUCUGCCAGGAUGGUGUCAAACCUCUUCCCAUCAGACACCUGAACUGGUCAAUUCCUACCGCUAAACACCACUAUUUUGAAGAAGGAAAACUGAAGUGAAAGCAAAUUUCAAAGGUACUCAAGACUUGUGUGAUACGGCGCUGAGCUCUGUGCUCACACAAAGAGCUGUUGGUUUUAGGCAUGCUAAAUGAAACACAUUUUACAUCUGCAGCAGAGUAAGAAAAAGUCUCGUUUCUUUUGCCUGAACAAAAGGCAAAGCAUACAGCAGCUGCUGUUCUUGUAGUAAAGAUUUCAAAACUGAAUGGCAGUGCUCUCUCACUCCUAUUCAUUUGACAUUCAGCUUUCAGAUUGUGAUGUUCACUGUCAUAUUUAUCACUUAACUAUGAUGGGCUGUUUGGGGUGACAGUUAUGGAUGGAAGCAGCCACAGUUCUCACCACCUUUCCAGAUCCAUUUUAAGUGGUUUCUGCUCCAUCAUCACUAAGAGCUGAUGCUGCUAUUCCCAUAGUUGGGAGAUUAGAAGCAAUGUAUGAAUUCAGGCCUUUCUCCUUCCUGUGGUUGCCCUAUGGUCAGGCAGAGGAGACUUUCCCACUCUUUCAACCACUGCUGGUGAAAUGAGCCCCACAGUACGUGAUCGAGAGAACUGACUUCGAGCUUUGAUAGUUAUAAAUAGUAGGCACUGUAAUUGUCUAGCAGUUCUCCUGCAAAGAAGAGGUAAUUGUGUGGAUGAAUAAAAUAUUGGCAUUAAAAAAACAUUUUAAGCUUAAUCUCAAAGUAGCUGAUGAAGUAUUUCUAUGGCAGACCUGUCAGCUCACGUGCUCUCAGUGGUAGCUUCUCAUGCUUGGUUGGCUCUUUUGUAAGAAGAGAAAAAGAAUUAAAAAGAAAAAAACAAAAAUGAAACACACCAGAAACACAUGCACAGUACAGAAUGCACACACAACGAAACAGCAAAAUAAUCCUGAAAAUCAAAUGCGUGCAUUUGGAGAGGGCCUUCUGCACUUCUCCAUGUUACCCCUCAUGGGGAAGUUCCCAGCCCUGCCACUCAGGCAGACCCAGUGGAGGAGCUUUUCUCUCUGGGUGCCCAUCCCCAGCCUCACUGUACCUGACAACUUCAUGGUUCAGCCUGUUUCUUCUCCAGGGGGCAGAGCCAUGCUGCCUUCCCCUUCUGCAAGGGAUGAAGCUUCGGCUGCCAUUACACUGUGCUCUUGGAGAGACCUUCAGCUCAAACUGAUCUACAGCCUACCUGUGGGAUAGUCUUCAGCCUCCAGGCAGAGCAAAGCAGCCAGAGCACACCUGGGAGGGGGAGGAUCCUGAAAACUGCUGCUUAUGGGGUGGCAUCAGAUUACGACCAGUUCCUAGGAUUUGGCUCAGAGAUACAGAGGAAAGCAGGGAGGUGGGCUGGCUCCUCCAUCCUGGACCAAAAGUUUGAUGCAGGGAUUGGGUCUCCCACUGCAUCACUGCAUAGGAUGAGGGGAGGAGGUAGGAAAAGUGACUGGCAUUUUGAGAUCAUUGAUAACCUUCAUGAGGCAUUAGUUUUAUUUAAUACAGAGUGUCAUGUCGGGUCCAGUAUUUCAGGGACCGAUUUAAGAUUUAACAGCAAUUCACAACGCUAACAUCAGCCAAAGCAUUUCUGUUUGGAUUUUAGUUCUCCAGCAGAAGGAUGACAGCACUGAAGAUUAAAGCUUUUUUUUACCCCUCCUUAAGAUCUCAGCAAAGUGCAGAUUUGAAACACAGAAAGAGGUUGACCUUCGUAUUAACCUGAAUCUCUUUUCCUGUUUCUUCUUGAACAUAUUUUAUUCUCUUUAUGCACAGUGGGGCUCUUUUUUUCUUGUGUGAGGCUGUUGAAUGAAAUGCCAGAAAGAUGGAGUGUGCACUUUUACAUCAAAGAAAUGAUGAGACCAUAAAAACUCAUUUCCCUUGUGACUUCUUAAAUUGUUGCUAAGGAAUUGAAUGAGUCUGUUUGAAACAAUGUGUCCCUUUAAAUUCUGUUUUCUUAUUUGUCUUAAAACACAAAGCCACAGUUUCUUGUAGACCCUGAUUCAAAGGCCACUCACUGAAGUCAAUAAAGGUUUCUUAGUCACUGUGUUUAGAUGUAGGUCAGAUUUUUCAAGUAUUCCACUAUGUAGAACCCAGGCAGACUGAUUUCAAAAGUUCUGGCUAUUCACAGAAAGAAAGUAAAAGGUCUAGUUUGUUUUUGUUCAUUCAGGUGGUUAAAAACGUCCCCUUCAAAUGGGCCAGAAUUGAGUCAACUGUCAACUGCUGAGCAGAACAAAUCUGACAGGGGCAAGUAAAAUGAAGCAGUAGUUAAAUUCAGAAAUCCAAAGAAGUAAAAAUGUUGAUUUACUUUAGUUUUUCUCAUGCACAGUGGUGACGUGCAGUAGAAGCACAAACAAAGCCCACGGUUCAGACUGUUGGAGGGAAACCCUGCCUAUUUCUGUGUAACAGUUUUGGGCAAUCACUCUCGCUGCUGGGGUGAAUGGUUUGUUAGUACUAUAACCCAGUGAGUUGCUAGAAAUGGUCUUGAUUGGAGAGCAUUGUAAAGCAAUUAAGUUCUGACUAUUAACAAAGCUCCCACAGAGAGCAUUAAUUUUUGAAAGUAGACAAAGUCUGCGCUACGACUUUCUAGUGACUGUGUGGAAGUGUGACCAGAGUGAAAUAUGGAAACUGCUACAGUAAGUCUCAACUGUUGUAGAUAUUCCUUAUCAGUUUCCAGGAAAAGGUUUUAAAGUUCCAAUUUAGAAAAGCAUUUAAAUGUAUUCUGAAAUUUAUUUCAAUUUAAUUGGAUACAGGUUUAACAAAUUGUUAAGUUUUUGCAUAAUAAGUAGCAAUUUAAGUAUCUUCUUAUAGAGCUGGUUUGGAUUUCAUUUAAAUAUCCUUUUCUCGGAAUUGGAGCCUUAGUCAUCUGAACUGUAAUGGGAUUUUCUGGGUCUAAAAUCCAGAAAAUGCCACUUUGCUCUCAGACCCAAGUCAGUCAUCUUCAUCUAUGAGAUACCCAUAUUGUGUGCACACGUUCCUUUCCAGAACUCCAGCCGCCUGGGCUCUUUAACUUACUGUUUGUUUCUCUCUGCAAAGGCGUAUGAUAUUUUAAGCAGGUAACUUAACAGUGGUUCAAAAUAGUGAUUUCUUGUGUUAGCCAGUGUAAGAAAAAUCAUAGAAUCAUAGAAUCAGUCAUAGAGAAAUGCCAUGCUGAAGAUGCUAAAACCCCAGAAUGGAGGUCUCCAUCUCUGAUCGUUCUCAGAGGUUGAAAUUGCAGUUCGUCAUCUUCCCAUCUUUUGUACCCAAUUUCUGGUUGCUCUGCUCUGUUUUAUGCCUUGAAAAGGACAUUUGCUUUAAUGGUCCCAUGCUGGGAUUUCAGAACGAUGGGGAAACAUUGCUACCAGUAAAAUAUGUGGAACUAUUUUCAAAACGUUGGCGUGAGCCAACAGGACCUAUCAAAGCCUUUGCAAAAGCAUAAAACCAACUUCUCGGAUUACAUUGUUUAUAAUUUCUCUUGGGUUAUUUCCCAAUAACACAGAAAACGUGUGACUCUUUUUGUAUCCGAAAGGAGUUUGGCCAGUGCUGAGGUGGGAGCACAGGAUCUUUACCAAACAAGGCUCCAUGUCGUGAUGGGCAGUCUUUAGGACUCUGAGUAACUGAAUGCUUGUAGCACUUCACUUUCUGAAGAUAGAUGAAGCGUCUUCUGAAUUACAUGUGGUUUUUUUAUGGUUUGUUGUCUUGUUUUUCUCCUUGUAGUGUAAUUCUGAACCACAUGAUCAAGCCAGGUGUUAUUCCAUGCUACUGCUUCUGAAAAUGCAGAUGCAGCAGAUGCAGGCAUACGGGUUCAGUGAAUCAGGAACAGAUAAGUGUCAACUUUCCUCUGUGGUUGUGGUUGCAAAGACCCUUGUGCUGAACGUUUAUUCUCUAGUGUUUAGAAAGGAACAGUUUGAUUAUAGCAGUACUUUGUUUAAAAAAAUUUCUUGAUAACUACACUGAAAGUGGAUAUUUUCUGCUAUUACUUAAAACUCAGUGUUGGUUGCAAACCCAAAGAAAACAGGUACCCAUGUUCAAUAGCCAUACCUAAUACACUGUUGUGUUAGAUACCACAAUCCUAAUUCCAUAAGAUGGUGUUCUUGGAAACAGCAGAAAAUCAGCAUGGAAUAGAAAAAAUUUCCUCCAGAAGAUGCAGUUUCCAUUGUAAAACCAGUCGUUUGCAUUUUUAACAUCCCACCUUGCUAGUUUUUCUUCUUCUAUUGGGAAGAAGUUCAUAACAAGUUCACUCCUUUUAAUCUAAGGAAAAUGAACAGACCUCCCAGAGUUGAAAACCCGCUGUACAAACAGCAAAAUUAUUCUGACUUCCAGGAGUAAUUUAAUUAGAAGGAUUCUUCAGAGUGGCUUUUUUUUUUUUUUUUUUUUUUUUCCAUUAGAAAAUGUGGUGUUUUUCACGCUGUACAGCACAAAACCUUUGGCAUUUUUGUAAAGUGUAAUAAAAUAAUCACUGGGAAUUUCUGGAUCUUUCUCUAUAGGAGUUGCUACCCAUUUUUCUUUUUAAGCUAAUUUAAGGGACAAAGUAGCUCAAUAAUUUGCUUUUCUGCUUAAAAAGGUGACUUUGAAGAAGAGUGACAUGAUAAACCUUCCACAGUGAUUAUGGAAAAUAUUGUUUCUGCUAUUUAUGAAAUACACUGUGAUGCUCUUUUGAUUAAAAAUGAAGAUGAAAAUCUUUCAAAGCCUUUGAGACAAAAUUAUUUCAGCAAACAAAGAAUGAGAAGAGUAUCUGGUAGUGGUGUGGACUUCUGCAUGGUCUUGAAUAUGUGCUGCUCUGUGGAAGAACCAUUUCCAGAAGUGGCAUUUGUCCCCACAGACUUUUUAUGUCCAGGUGUUUCACUUAUCUGUAGUUCCACUUAUGUUUUCUUUUCUUUCAACUAAUGUCCAGGACAAGUUAAAGUGAAUCCUACAUUCACUGGCUGACUAGGUGCUAAUUGCUAACAUCAGUUCUGAACCUGAGGCAGAUAUUAGCUCCAUGUGCAAUUAGCACACUGAUGUACAGAGGAACUGAGAUCCCAAGAUGAAAACCAGAAGAAUGAGGUGCUGUACUGUCAUUUUGGAAGACAGUACCCUGGUUUCACUACUUAUAGUUACAGAACAUCAUUAGCUUUUGAAAAUGAACAGGAAAAUCUGCUAUUAGUGUUCCUUCCUGCUGUUAUGCAGCAUGAGGGGUUCUCAAUGUCUAUGCUUGUACUUUGUUGCUCUUGUUGAAACAUCCCUUUCUUGAAGAGAUCAUUUAGGACUGGGAAGACGCCAGAAUGUUACUGACCUCAAUGUGGAUUACAUUUCUAAAGUAGUUUGGGACAUUCUCUUGCCACCUGUAGUUGUAUAGUUUGUAUUUCAGAAUUAGGGAGGUCAACAGUAAAGAAGCGAUACAUUUCAUCUAAAGAGUGAUGUAGAGAAUUGUAAGGAAAUUACAACUUUUGUUGAGUUCUUUACCGACAUUUAUUGACUUCAUUUCUGCUUAACGCUACAGCUGACACCAAGCCCAGCCCUUUGUUUGCAGGACAGUAGAUUUAAGUGCUCACUAAAACAAGAAGUCUGUGGAAUAAUUAAAUAAUGAGUAUUUUUAACAAGUGUCCUUUGAAAACAUCUCAAGGUAAUGUUGAAAGAAAAUAAAACAAAAAAACAAACAAUAGGAAGAACUGAAAAUCAUUUGCAUAGAAAUGAUCACAUUCCAUCAUGAUGUCCUAAUUUGUGCCUAUGUUUUAGGAUGUUUAUGGUGAUUCCAGAGCUGAUUACCAUAUUAAUGUCAUGAAAAUAAUAAAAAUGUACUGAUUUAGUGCAUUACUCCCUUAAACCAGUCAUAAGAAAAGAUUUACCUUAGUUAUUCUGUGGUAAAAGUUAUAUUACUCAUUUUCUUCAUCUUCAGUGCAUGUGGUAACACAGAAAUAUCACUUUGCAAAGUGCUUUAUAUCAAGGAAAUUCCAGACCACAACAAAGGAGUGCAUGUUAAAAUCAUGAGAAAUGUAGUUUGAGGUGAUUCAUGAAAGAAAUAAUCAGUGUUUAUGAAUGCUAAAAUGUGUUACUCAACUAUGCGCUAGUAAAUUAUGCCUAUGCGUAAAAAGGGAGCAGGCUUAACACUGUGACUAGGAAAGCUUUACUGUAGUCAGAUUUGCUACUAUUGGACUGAAAAAAAAAAUAGUAAGGGAAAGAGAAGUUAAAUAAUAAACUUAAUUUUGCUUUGGAAUCAACUGCUUCUCAGUAAGAUGGUGAAACUGAAAAUGGCUUUAGGAGCACAGAUGUGAGAGAUGAUAGGGACCACUCAGAGGUCUAGAAAGCACGGGCUCUGAAGAAAGACUUUAUGAACUGGGAUUCUUUUAGAUUAAAAAAAGAGAAGGCAAGGGCUAGGUGACUUCACUUUCAGUUUUAUAUUUUUAUGGUAAUAAAAGGAAUUGAAAGAGAGUCACUGCACCCAAAGUCAAAAGCCUUUCAGACAAUGAAAAUUAUUCCUUUGUAAAAGUUGAACCAUCACCCAUCCUACAGACUUAUGUAAAGAAACAAGGAGACAUCAGUGUCCUUUCACUGCCAGAACGGGCAGGGAAGCAUCUCACAUGGGUUGGCAGGACUUUGUUUAUAUGCAGGAAAGGGGAGUGCUGACUCUCUUGGGAGAAUCUGCCAUUGUAUUAUUUUAUUUAUAAAUAUUUAGCUAAUAGAUCAGCUGUUUGGAAAUACUGGAUAUAUACCAUUGGAAAUGGUAUUAAGCAAGCAAAUAAAUAACUGGUUUUAAACUGUGGGUGGUAAACGCGUUUACAAAAACCUUCACAAGGAGCACCUGGCAACCUCAGCAGGUCCUGUCAGUGUAACUUGCUCGUGAAACACCCAAUCAAUAAUGCACAUGAGCUACAUGCCAUAUGGUCAUAUGCUUUUCACUAGGAUGAUAAAUGAUAUUCUAGGUUAUGAAAGCCAUCUUUAUAAAAUGGAAACAACUCCUGCAAACAAUCAAACUGAUGGAGGAAAAUGAAGUGAUACAAACGAACUGGAAAAUUCACUGAUCUCCAAAGAGUUCACAAUAAUUUACACAAGUUGUUCUUAUACUUUGUUUACAGUUGUACAGAGAGAGACCUUUUCUUCUCAGGGGCCAGAAGGGGUAUUGCAUACACGAUGUGAGAAUGGACAGGCAGAGAAGAGAGAAGAUGGAUGGAAGAGUGGAUGCAUUACAAAGGCUGUUCAAGGUUUGGAAAGUAAAGGAAAGUAAAGAGAAUCAUUUACUUUGAUAUCCAGCAUAAGCUGAAAUGAAUAACGUUCAUUUCUUGAGGAAAAUAUGGUGCAUUUGAAAACCAGUGUUCAAAUGAGCAAUAAUCCAGUCUGGCUUCCUUUGUGUUAUCCAAAGCAGCAGCGUCUUCAGCUUGAGAUAAGGACCUAUCCCCUUGCUAUCCAGCAGUACAUAAUCAGCUCUUAUGACUCAAAUAUGUGAAAACGGAGAAGGAUUCUCUGGUCUGAUUCUUGAACCCAAAAGGCUGAUCAGGAAAGACACAAACAAGAGGUCACAACAUUGAGAACUACUCUGGAGUGAACCAGCGCUGAACUACACUGUGCUUUAAUGACUUUUAAGGUCUCCAGGUAAGAACAGCUAUCAUCAUCCCACAGAGACAUUUCUACCUUCUUUUCUAUUUAGAGCUAACUCUUCUAUUAGCAUGUUCCAGCUGAGUCAAAGAGGCAUCAAAGGCACUUAAGGCCCUUUUCCUUCAAGACCCAGGCUGUAAUACCUGAGAAGUUUAUCCUCUUUAAUUGCAGACCACACAAACCUGCUGAAAGCUCAGUCUGACACUCCCCUGUGCAUGACAGGCUGUCAUUCUCCUGGAAUAAUUUUCUGACAUUCUUCAGAGAGAUGUGGACAUUCAUUUUUUGCCCUCACAGGAAGCAUCCACAUUGCAUGCUAUUUAUAAAACUGUCAUUCAUUUUGUAACAGGCAGGUGUUCACACACAAACCUGGACAUGAAACAGCCUUUUUAUUCAAGGCAUUUUUGGCACUUUAUUGAAGAUAGGCCCUCCCAGAUGGAGAAUUAAAAUCAGGAUCUCAGUUCUUUUCUAUAGGCAGCUUCUAGAAUGGAUGUCUAUGUAGGUAAGAGGGUGUAAGUAAAAAAACAACAGACCCUAAAACAACUACAAAACUUAAAAUGUGUGCUAAUGUGCAUAUGUGUGCUCAUGUAUGUUUACAUUGAGACAAAUCUCCAAAUGACAACUUAUUAGGACCGAAUAUUUUGUUUAAUUUCUUUUAGUAUAGGAUAACUUCCAACUGCUCUUAGAUUACCAAAAAGACACUGUCUUUUUUGAAGGUCAACAUGGAAGAUAAAGAGAAGACAGGUCAAAUUCUGAAAAUCGUGGAAGAAAAGUAGUUAAGCUGACAAAAAUGAGAAAGGAUGUGAACACAUAAGGUCAGAAUGAAAACCUAAGUUAAAACUUAAUAACUUGUCUUGCGUCAUAGUAGCUCUUCGGUCAAUAAAUUAUCCAGACAAAGUUUAUUACAAAUUAUUCUUUUCAGUGCAAUUAGACAUUUGAAAUAUUUGAACAGAUGGGAAGAGUUUCAGCUCAAAUGAUGAUUCUUCUCACUUUGCUUUCCGGGAAAUGAUAAAACAUUCUUCCCAUAGCCUGGAAAAAAAGAGGGAUUGAGAGAACACACAGAAGCAUAAAAUACAGUGAACUGAAUUAUGCAGCCAUGUAAUAAAAAAAUGUUGUGAAACAAGAAUACUCUGCUUCCACAGUGUUUCAGUGGCAUUCUUUGAACCUUUCUAUUCUUAGACAUUCUUGUAGCCUGAAGAUAUUCGUCAUCGUGGCAUAACUAAAUGAUUUGUUUUUAUUGGUACAAUCAAUCCACAUUAUUACCUUUGACUACAUGGUUCUCUAUCUUGAUUCUGACAUACGGCUAAUAACUUUUAUGAUGAAAUCACAGAAGUGCUCCAUGGGAUGUAAUUGAAAAUUGUGCUCUGUAGUUUUGUUUUGAACUUCUUUUAAUGUUUAGUAUAGCCAUGUGCAACCUUGAUGGAAGUAAACUGUGAUACAUGGAAUUAAUUUUAACAGGAUAGAUGUAUGCCUCAUCUUGUAAUGAUGGUAAGCAGUUGCAGUUACCACAGCUGGAAGGGGCACCUCUGACACUGAAGCUCCACUGCCAUUCUCUGAUUUGAGCUUUUGAAAUCACACUUUUGGAAAACAUAGAGAAGUAAAG
ensembl:lncRNA